GAAAGAGACACCCGACAGGAACCAGUUCAAAGUUUGCGCCCAGCCUCGGGAGAUCAGAUGACCGGCAGCUGGCCUGCCCCCUGCCGGCUCCCGUCGAUGUCGGAGGGGCUCGGACCCCUGUUUGGUCACAGAAAUACCCAUUUGGAAAUCUCUUUGAAGACUGAUUAAGCAAACACUCCCAGCACUGACAGUAAUAACUGAGUGACGUCGUCGAAGUGUUCAUGGUCACGGUAGCCGGGAAGAGCCAUGGUCAAGUCUCUCUUGGGACCAUGAAUUACAUCACUUGUUGCCCUUUGUGAUUAAAGAUGAUGCCUAUGUGACUGUGAUCCGGACAACUGGUACUGAGGGAUCGUCCUUGGAAUGACAGCCCCGGACAGUGGCUCCGUGCUGGGACCUCUUCACAGGAAUCAUGAGGCAGGCAACUUCCUGUUGUGAUGGAUUUUGCAAUCUUAAUGCCGUGGGUCCUGAGCGAGCCAAUCUGCGAUUUCUAGCACAAGUGCGUACUCUGUGCUGAGCACUGCUCUAAGCAAAGAAGACAGAGUCUCUGUGCUCAGGGGCCGAUUUUCUCAUGGGCGAAGUAGAUGGUCAGCUCAUCACCAGACAGGAUAUCACAGACGGCGGUCCGGACCCCUGCAACAAACCACAAGAAAGUGCUGCAGGAGUGAUGUGACCUAAUUAGCACUAUGGAAGAUCAUUACUCUGGCGACUCUCUGCAGAUGAACUCUAGAGGCCAAGGCCAAUGGCAGCAGCGAGGCCCAUUUGGAUUGGAUGCUGUCACUGUCCAGACCAGAGAUGACAUAGCUUGGACUAGGGUAGCGCUGGGUCACCUCUGUGUGUACCUGCCUUCAACAUCCAUCCACACAAAUAGAGUCCCAGGGCACAGACAUCGUAAAAGAGGAAAGAACACUGCCAAACACCCCGUGGGCGGAAGAGAGUCCGAGAUCAUGGGAGAAAAUACGGCAGGAUGAAGUCUUCCCGGUGGAAUGGCUGGUGGGGGGAGAGCGGGGGCUGCCCCUCGGUCCCUGCAGUAAACCAUGCACCCACUGGAUUUGGAGUGUGAGAAACUUUGUUGAACACAUUGCUCUCUGAGAUUUCACUUACAUGAUCAAUUUCCUCAUUGUCUUUCAGGUCUAGAGUCCUACCGUCUUCACCUUCUGAUCCAUCUGAGCUUUGGUGGAAUAGCUUUCUUUUUCUCCUCUUUGUCAUUAUCAUCAGAAAGCAAAAGAUUCUGAAUUUCAACUGUGUUCCCUGCAAGCUACAAAGACAGGGUCUCUGGUGAUCCUUUAUACCCUCUUGAAGUUGACGCUCUCCUUCAGCAGGUUGGACAGGAAGACUGGGAAGGAGAUGGUUGGACGGUUUACCUCACUGCUGUGUCAUCCUGCUAACCCGGGUCAGCGCACGCUUCUUCAUGUUGUUCAGAAUACUUUAUACAUAUCGGUAAAACAGCAACCAUGUUUCAACAUAUAGGACAACUAAGAACCCUAAGAUCCUCAGACGCGGCUUAGAAGUAUGAGGGUCCAUUGGAUGUGUGGACUAAUUGCACUGCAGAAUUCCCUUAAGAAAAAUAAGUAAUUGCUUUUUUUUCUUUGGAAAGCCUCUGUAAAGAACAAAAAAGUCAAGCAAUGUCAAUCCCAACAGAGAGAUAGAACUGCUCAAGAAAGAAACUCAAAAAUUAAAAUAAAAUCUAAUAGGUCCUGAUGA